GUCUCUUUGGAAAUAAGUAUAUAAAGAGUCGAACCUGCCCGGUGACUAUAUUGUUAAACGGCCGCGGUACCCUAACCGUGCAAAGGUAGCAUAAUCAUUUGCCUUUUAAUUGGAGGCUGGUAUGAAUGGUUUGACGAGAGCUAUGCUGUCUCUUUUAAAAUAUUUAAAAAUUAACUUUUAGGUGAAGAGGCCUAAAUUUAUUUAAGGGACAAGAAGACCCUGUUGAGCUUUAGUGAUGUUGUAAACGAUGAAGAAUAAGUUAUUAUUGAUUUGUUGUGUAUUUAUUAUAAUAAAAGUUUGCAGAUAAUCUUUAGUUGGGGCGACUGAGGAACAUAAAAAGCUUCCUUGUAUAUAAAUUAUUUAAGUAAUUGAAUAAAUUAAUGCUUAUGUGUUAUUUUGAUCCAAAUUAUUUUGAUUAAGAGAAAAAGUUACCACAGGGAUAACAGCGUAAUCUUUCUGGAGAGAUCUUAUCGAAAGAAGGGUUUGCGACCUCGAUGUUGGACUAAGAUAUCCUAAGGGUGUAGAAGUUCUUAAAGGUUGGUCUGUUCGACCAUUAAAAUCUU
rnacentral:rRNA from 2 species